AUACAAUUUGCCUAUACACCGCCACAGCGUUACACCAUCACCAUAAAUAAGACUGUAAACAUUAGCUGGACGUUUGUCACUGUGUGCCUCAGAGAUCUAUCAGCAUGGUCGUAAAAGUACACGUGGAGUAUUGUGGUGCAUGAGGGUACGCCCCCAAAUUUCAGAAGUUGAAGAAUCAGCUUCAGAAGAAAUUUGGAAAUGGCGUCACUAUGGACCACUAUGCCACACCAAAUGUAACAGGAUUCUUUGAAGUUUCUGUAAACGACAAACUUAUCCACAGUAAGAAGAAUAGUGAUGGCUAUGUUGACACUGAUGCCAAAUUGGAUAAGAUCGUGAAGGCUGUUGAGGCAGCCUCUUGAUGUAGGAAAGUGGCCACAGGUCAAGGAUCGCACUGAAGAACUUGGAGGUAUCAGGAGGAGGCGCUUACAAUGACGGAACAAGAUGCAAACCCUCUUUGUCUUGUACCAGAUGACCCUUAGUGUAGCCUUGUGAUGACCUCUGACUUUGUCGGCUGUGACCUUGGAUCAGUGGCAAUGUGUUUCUCUACAAACUUGUAAUGUGCACUAACUUAUACUUAAUGGGUUGUUUUUAUUGCUAUCAUGGUCGUCAAUAAUAUUAUUUACAUGAAGUUGUCCAGUUACGUGAUUCAUUGUAAAAUUACUGUGACUGUACAAUUUUUACCUUCUUUCCUUUUGAAACCAAUUUGCCCUCUUGUCGAUGCUAAAAAAUAAAACCACAAAAAAGCUUUCUGAUUUUACUGUUUGCUACUAAGUUAAGUAAAAAUAUUUGUAAGAAUGUUAAUUGAGUCCCAAAUAAAGACAAAAAACGCCUAAAAAUAAAUUAAUGCAAUUUUUGAGAAUCUCAGUUACAAUAUCAUAAAUGUUAUACUAUCUUCAAUAAUUUGUAUGUAUCUUGCUUGUGAUCAAAUUUUACAUUUUGAAAUGAAUCCUGUUUUGCAGCAGAAAUUAAUAUGUAAGACCAUGAAAAUAGAUUUAGUCACACUCCAUGGUGAGACACUAGCUCUUUAACAGGGUAAGGUGAGAGUUUAAUUCUACCUCAAAUGGGUUCUUUCAAUUGUUUUCUUCCUGUACAUCUUAUAAAAUGCUCUUGAUCUCUUUUAUGACAUUUGUAUGUACAAUUAACAUGUAAUGUUUACUUGACAUCAACAUGAAGAAUGUUUUACAAAGUUUACAGAGAUAAGGACAAGCAUUGUACACAUUAGUAAAUAUAUCAUACACAGGUUUAAUAAUAACAACAAUGUCAACGCAGUGUUAAUAUUAUUUGAGAAUCGAUUUUAUGUCAGAAACAAAUGAUAAUGACAAUAAACCAUCUUUUUCAAAACAAA